UAAACCUCAUCUCCAAGAUGUUACAGUCUUGGUGGUGGAUUUGGAUGCUGCCGUAAUUGGCUCAUCCUGAAAUACAUUAGCUUGCGCUUUUUAGAGUGCUUGGCAUGGUGUGAUAACUAUCUGCGCCGUCGCCUUAGGCCUCUUCUAUGUGUGCUGCUUACAGUCGUCCUUCAAGGACAAUAACUUAAGCU
rnacentral:misc_RNA from 1 species